rnacentral:tRNA from 1 species
GCCAGAAUAGCUCAGUUGGGAGAGCGUUAGACUAUAGAUCGAAAGUUCCCUGGUUGAAUCCCGAGUUUCGGGA